rnacentral:misc_RNA from 1 species
UCAUCAUUCCCCUCCGCUUCAAAAUGAUUCGUCCUCGAAUCUGUUCCUGCAUCAACACAAGGAGAUAAAUCAGCAACAUUGAAGGUGGCACUGACAUUAUACUCACUGGGCAAGUUUAUUUUGUAGGGAUUAUCAUUAAUUUUGGUCAGCACUUGGAAAGGUCCAUCACAUCUUGGUUGUAAUUUUGAUUUCCUUCGAGUGAACCCAUACCCAAUCUCUAGGUUGAAAUGUAACUUUCUUCCUUCCUUUGUUGUCUUGACUAGCAUAUUUUUCAUUUUUCUUUUCAAUUUGAAGCUUGGCUUGUUCAUGGAUUUUCUUCACCAAUUCUGCUUUUCUUUUUCCAUCUAAACUAGCAAGCUCGUUCACAGGCAAAGGUAAAAGAUCCAAAGGAGUUGAAGGAUUGAAACCAUACACAAUUUCAAAUGGAGAAUAGCCAGUAGAAGAAUGCACAUUUCUAUUGUAUGCAAAUUCAACAAGUGGAAUGCAAUCUUCCCAUGACUUCAAAUUUUGCUUAACCACAGCACGCAAAAGAGUAGUUAGUGUCCUAUUUACUACUUCAGUUUGACCAUCGGUUUGUGGGUGACAAGUGGUGGAAAAUAACAACUUGGUGCCCAAUUUUCCCCACAAAACCUUCCAAAAGUGACUAAGGAAUUUAACAUCCCUAUCACUAACUAAACUCUUAGGUAUGCCAUGCAACCUAACAAUAUCUCUAAAAAAUAAAUUUGCAACAUUUGUAGCAUCAUCAGUUUUAUGGCAUGGAAUAAAAUGUGCCAUUUUUGAAAACCUGUCAACAACAACAAAAAUUGAAUCAUGGCCUUGUUUAGACCUAGGUAAUCCUAACACAAAAUCCAUAGACAAAUGAACCCAAGGAUCACUAGGGGUAGGCAAAGGUGUAUACAAACCUUGUGGCAAAACUCUAGAUUUAGCCUUAGCACACACAACACACCUAACACAUACUCUUUCAACAUCUCUUUUCAUAUUCGGCCAAUAAAAAUGUUCAUUUAACACAUCUAAAGUUUUGAUAACACUAAAAUGACCCAUUAAUCCACCAGCAUGAGACUCAUUCACAAGUAAUUCACAUGGAACUCUUAGGCACACACAAUCUAUUUUCUCUAAACAAAUAUCCAUCAUGCCUAUAAAACUUCUCAAAAGCAUUCUUUUCACAAGCUGCAUACACUCUAGCAAAGUCAUCAUCUUCAACAUAUAAUUCUUUCACAUAUUCGAAUCCCAAUAAUGCAUCAAGAAGGACAAGAAGGUUAUACCUUCGAGAUAAGGCAUCAGCCACCACAUUUUCUUUCCCAUGUUUGUAUUGAAUCACAUAUGGGAAGGUCUCAAGGAACUCAACCCAUUUUGCAUGACGCCUACUCAACUUAUUCUACCCCUUGAUAUGCUUCAAUGACUCAUGAUCUGUGUGGAUGACAAAUUGCUUUGGCCAAAGGUAAUGUUGCCAUGUUUCCAAGGCACGUACCAAUGCAUACAACUCCUUGUCAUAUGUAGAAUAGUUUAAAGCUGCUCCAUUAAGCUUCUCACUAAAGUAUGCUAUUGGUCUCUUAUCCUGCAUUAAAACGGCUCCAAUACCUAUUCCUGAUGCAUCACACUCAAUCUCAAAAUUCUUAGAAAAAUCAAGUAAAGCCAACACGGGAGUGAAACAUAACAUGUCUUUAAUUUUGUGAAAAGCAUCAUCUUGUUUCUGUUCCCAAACAAAAUUAACAUUCUUUUUGACAAGAUCAUUCAAUGGUGCUGCAAUGGUACUGAAAUUCUUAAUAAAUCUUCUAUAGAAACUAGCUAGUCCAUGGAAACUACGUGCUUCAGAUGCAGACUUUGGAAUGGGCCAGUCUCUAAUAGCUCUAAUUUUUUCAUCAUCAACUUCAACACCAUUAGCACUAAUGACAAAUCCUAAAAAGACAACCUUUUCCAUGCAAAAUGAACAUUUCUUCAAGUUAGCAUAUAAUUUUUCCUUUCUUAACACGUCGAAUACAGCUCUUAAAUGAUGCAUAUGUUCAUUCAUGCCUCUACUGUAAACCAAUAUAUCAUCAAAAUAAACAACAACAAAUUUUCCAAUAAAAGCACGCAACACAUGAUUCAUCAAUCUCAUAAAAGUGCUAGGAGCAUUAGUUAGCCCAAAAGGCAUCACUAACCACUCAUAUAGUCCAUGUUUUGUUUUAAAUGCAGUCUUCCAUUCAUCACCUACUUUCAUGCGAAUUUGAUGAUAUCCGCUUUUCAAGUCAAUUUUGGUAAAAACACAAGCACCACAAAGUUCAUCCAACAUAUCAUCCAAUCUAGGUAUAGGAUGGCGAUACUUUACAGUGAUUUUGUUGACCGCCCUACAAUCCACACACAUGCGCCAUGUGCCAUCUUUCUUUGGUACCAAAAGGACGGGUACAGCACAAGGGCUCAUACUUUCUCUCACAUAUCCCUUAGCUAGCAAUUCCUCAACUUGCCUUUGUAAUUCUUUGGUUUCUUCAGGGUUACUUCUAUAGGCUGGACGGUUGGGAAUAACUGCUCCAGGUACAAAAUCAAUCUGGUGCUCAAUCCCUCGAAUAGGUGGUAGUCCAGCUGGCAUCUCCUCAGGUAGUACAUCCUCAUAUUCCUGCAAAAGGGAGACAACAACGCUAGGCAAAUUGGGGUCAAGGUCAGAUGUGGAUAAACAAGAGUCCUUAAACACAAUUAAUAACAUUUGCUUGUUGGCAAACAUGGCAUUCCUCACAUCUCUUCCUUUAGCAUACAAGCUUAAUUUUCUCUUCCCUCUUUCCGCACAGCUCUCCUUUUGCGCCGAAGAUUCACCUUUUUCAAGCACUCUUGGAAUGUUUUCUUUACUCUCUUUUCUUUCCUCACAACCACCCUUGUCUUGCUCACUUACAACAUUUUCACUCAAUUUCUUUUCACUCCUUCUUUUCUUCUCUGCUCUCUUUUCGGCCACUCUUGAUUUUUCCUCACCCAUUGCUUGCUUAAGCCUUGUUUGGUCUUCAUAAAUCUGUUUUGGUGUCAUAGGUGCCAAAAUGAUUUUCCUUCCAUUCAUUUCAAAAGAAUACCUAUUUUUAUACCCAUCGUGGAUCACCUUUCUAUCAAAUUGCCAUGGUCGGCCAAGUAAUAAAUGGCCAGCUUGCAUUGGAACCACGUCACACAUAACCUCAUCUUGAUACUUUCCUAUUGCAAAGGAAACCAGCACUUGUUUUGUUACUUUUACCUCACUUCAUUCAUUCAACCAUUGCAAUUCAUUCAACCAUUGUAAAGGAGGUCUAGGGUGUUUCAAAGUCCUCAACCCUAAUCUCUACACCAAAAUAGUACUAGCAACAUUAGCACAACUUCCCCCAUCAAUGAUGACACUACAAGCUUUGUCUUGGAUAAGACACCUUGUAUGGAAAAUUGUUUCUCUUUGCAAUUCAUCACCAACAUCCUCCUUUACUUGAGUAUUUAAUGCUCUCAUAAUCACUAGGGCACUUCCUUCAGCAGCAUAUUCUACCUCUGCAUCCUCCUCCCCUGAAGAUGUGGAAUCACUCACAAUUUCCUCCUCUGUUUCUAUCUCACCAUUUUCUCUCAUGACCAUGACUCUCUUGUUAGGGCAUUGAGAAGCUAUGUGUCCACUGCCCAAACACCUAAAACACUUCACAUCUCUAUUUCGGGUAGUAGUAGCAACCUCUUUUCUUUUACUUUCUACAAAUUUCUUCUCCGCCUUCUUUUCCUUAUCCUUAUCCUCAUUUUUCUUAUAGUUGCUAAAAGCCUUUUCCCUAUCCUCCUUCUUCCAGUUAGACUUCCAAGAUGAAGAAGUACCUGCAUUUCCUCCAAAUUUUGACUUGCUUUUAAGUUGCCUUUCUACCUUCAUAGCCAUGUGGACCAUAUCCUCCAACUCAACAUAGUGAUGUAACUCAACAAUAUGAGCAAUCUCCUUGUUUAGCCCAUUCAAGAAUCUAGCCAUGGUGGCUUCUCUAUCCUCCUCCACAUUUGCUCUAAUCAUAGCAAUUUCCAUUUCUUUAUGAUAAUCUUCAACACUUUUAGAACCUUGAGUCAAUCUUUGUAACCUCUGAUGUAGCUCUCUAUAGUAAUGACUAGGAACAAAUCUCUUCCUCAUUAUAGUUUUCAUCUCACCCCAGGUUGCAAUUGAUUGCUCAUAAUUUCUCCUUCUACUAAUCAACACUUGAUCCCACCAUACCAAAGCAUAAUCAGUAAAUUCUACUGCUGCUAACUUUACUUUCUUUUCCUCUGAAUAGUGAUGACAAUCAAACACAGCUUCUACCUUCCUUUCCCAUUCAAGAUACACAUCCGGAUCAUUUUUCCCUUGGAAAGAAGGGAUGCUCAUUUUAAUACUUUUGAUAUUGUCAUCUACCCUAUUCCUCUCUCUUUCCUCUCUUCUUAUCCUCCUAUCCCCAUUCCUCCUAUCUUCAGCUCUUCUCUCAUAUCUACCCCUCCUAGGUCUUUCAACCUCAAAAUCAUAGUUAUCAACCUCAUCUUCAUCAGAUUCAACUACUGGAGGUACAAGAUCCCUCCUAUUUGGCCUUCUCUCAUUUUGCCUAUCUCUUUGCUCCAAUCUUUCCAACCUAUCUAUGAUUUCAUUGCACACAACAUUCAUUCUUUCAAAUUGUUGUCUGACAGCCUGCAUGUAGAAUGGAUUUUCACCUUCCCCCUCACUACCAUCACCCCUUCUAGACAUGUUUUCAGACCUGCAAGAAAAUGGUUAGUGUAAAGAAAACACCUCACUCACUCCCUUACGUGUUUACACUCAACAGAGGACACUCCACUCGUGUUUAACUCAACAAGGCUUUUUCCCUCUUAUAAACUCACCACUCUGUGCCUUUUACCUCUCUUGGCUAUGUCCACAAGUUCUUAUCAAACUCAAGUAACUCAAACCAAGACUGUACCCACAAAAAUUUAACACACAAUAAAAUUCUUGAACGUGACGGAUCAAAACGAGUAAUCAAGAAAACAAUAAUGUGAUUCAAGAAGUCAAGAAAAGAAAAGCUCAAGUAUGGAAAUGUAAUGCAAUAGGAAUCAAGAAAGAAGACACCAAAAUAAAAGAGUAGUAAGCUGGAAAAGAGACAACCUAAAGUAUCUAUUUUUAGGAAAGAUUGGUGUAUUAACCAAGACUUGCACAUGUCCCAUGGUUGUUGAAAUGUCUUGACAACACCAACCCAUAUUUCUGCCUUCUUUUGUUUCAUUUUGGGGGACAUAAUUCACAUGGUAAUUUUUUUAAGCAAAAUUGCUGGAGCUUUGCUUCAAAGUUCUUCUUAGAACUCUCUCUAUUUUUCUUAGCAAAUUCUUGCCUUGAUUUGUUAAGUUUUAUUAUAUGUUCAAGGUUGUUCAUCAGCAUAGGUGAAUUGGUCUUGUUCUUGGCUGUCUUUCUUGGGAAUUAUAUUUUCAGUUCUCCAUCUUCAAGGUGAAGGGUUGAAGGUUCAAGGGAGUUUCUUGGCUUGUUUUGAAGAUGGUCCUUUGGUCUUUCUUCUUAGUGGAAUCAGCUACUAAGGGUAGAAACCGUAUCAUUUGGUAUCAGAGCUUAGGCUCUCUUCAAAACAGGUUGGUCAUCCAUUUUGUUGUGUUCUUGUUUUUCCUUUCUCCUUUUAUCUUCCUUGUAACUUGAAGGUUCUUCAAGUCCUUGUGUUUUCUGGUGUUUUUAAGAAAAUCUGAACAUAUUCAAGGCUUAGUAGUGAGUUAACACUCAAUACUACUAAUCUUAGGGUAUAUUAGAGUCUUGCUUGCAUUUGUCUUUGUUUCCCUAGUUUUGUCAUAUUUGUGUUGUUUUCUACCUUAAACCUUUUCUUCACAACCUAGUUAUUUGCAUCUUUGUGGCUUGCGAAGUAUGUUGUUGAAGUGUUUAGUGUUGGAUGUGUUGAGUGUAUCUGUUGUGUGGUUACAUGAUAUAAAAAAAAAA